AAACACAUCAAGGAAAGCUUUGGUGAACGCAUUCCAGAGGAUGUCAGCCUCGAGUUUCUAAUGGCUUGUGGCAAUAAGCUGGUGUCUCCAAAGCUCCAAGAUGGUCAGGAGCUGAAUGGGAUGCUGAUCCUAAAGGUUUUUAAAACCAAAGCCCUCUAUGUAAGGCCAUCAAGGACACUUUUAAGUGAAUCAGAUGAAGACAAAGAUCCUUCUUACAUCAGCUCCAAAUCAGCAUUAAGCAGUUGUGCAACUGAUAAGGACAGUGACAAUGAUUG